ACUUAGUGAUCCGGUGGUUCUGCGUGGAAGGGCCAUCGCUCAACGGAUAAAAGCUACCCUGGGGAUAACAGGCUUAUCUCCCCCAAGAGUCCACAUCGACGGGGAGGUUUGGCACCUCGAUGUCGGCUCAUCACAUCCUGGGGCUGUAGUAGGUCCCAAGGGUUGGGCUGUUCGCCCAUUAAAGUGGUACGCGAGCUGGGUUCAGAACGUCGUGCGACAGUUCGGUCCCUAUCCGUCGCAGGCGUAGGAAAUUUGAGAAGACCUGUCCUUAGUACGAGAGGACCGGGAUGGACGUACCUCUGGUGUACCAGUUGUCCUGCCAAGGGCAUGGCUGGGUAGCUAUGUACGGAAUGGAUAAGCGCUGAAAGCAUCUAAGCGCGAAGCCAACUUCAAGAUAAGA
rnacentral:rRNA from 1 species